rnacentral:rRNA from 1 species
AGUCAAUAGAUACCCUGGUAGUCCACGCCGUAAACGAUGAGUACUAGGUGUAGGAGGUAUCGACUCCUUCUGUGCCGCAGUUAACACAAUAAGUACUCCGCUUGGGAAGUACGGUCGCAAGAUUAAAAACUCAAAGGAAUUGACGGGGGCCCGGCACAAGCAGCGGAGCAUGUGGUUUAAUUCGAAGCAACGCGAAGAACCUUACCUAGACUUGACAUCUCCUGAAUAGCGCAGAGAUGCGUGAAGCCCGUUCGGGUCGAGGAAGACAGGUGGUGCAUGGUUGUCGUCAGCUCGUGUCGUGAGAUGUUGGGUUAAGUCCCGCAACGAGCGCAACCCGUAUUAUUAGUUGCUACCAUUAAGUUGAGCACUCUAAUGAGACUGCCCGGGUUAACCCGGGGUAGGAAGGCGGGGUAUGACGUCAAACUACAUCAUGCCCCGUUACU